GGUAUUGUCCCGUGCCUAUGUGUUUGUGCCAAGAGAAAAAUGUUUGGACCUCAUCGUAUGAAGGGGUGUAGUAGAAGGCACCAAUCGGGGGAUUAUGAGGAGUUUGGCGAUGAGUGUUCAAAUCUAAACCUGCGAAAAGUGGCACCAAAAACACCGCGGGGAAGUCCGCUACAUUGGUGGGGUUAAUAGAAAGCUCAGGGAC
rnacentral:lncRNA from 1 species